rnacentral:snRNA from 1 species
GUGCUCACUUCAGCACCGUAUAUACUAAAAUUGGAAUGAUACAGAAAUUAGCAUGGCCCCUGCAUAGGGACAUGCAAAUUUGUGAAGCAUUCCAUAUUAAA